UAUGGUUUAUUUGACAGAUGAUUCUUACACGGAUAACCGUAGUAACCCUAGGGCUAAUACGAGACUAACCUCCCGACCAAAAUUGGGAGGCGUGCAUAUUAGUUGGACAAACCCUCAAUGGUUGAACCACAGUAUUCAUUCAGAUCGCGUUGACUCUGUCGGCGACACGUCAUUCAAGUUUCUGCCCUAUCAGCUUUGACGGUAGGCUAUUGGCCUACCGUGGCCUUGACGGGUAACGGGGAAUCAGGGUUCGAUUCCGGAGAGGAGGCCUGAGAAACGGCCUCUACA
rnacentral:rRNA from 1 species